CCCUUAGAUGUUCUGGGCCGCACGCGCGCUACACUGAUCAGUGCAACAAGCAUCCGUCCUUGGCCGACAGGCCCGGGUAAUCUUUGAACGCUGUUCGUGAUUGGGAUAGACCUUUGCAAUUAUGGGUCUUCAACGAGGAAUUCCUAGUAAACGCAAGUCAUCAGCUUGCAUUGAUUACGUCCCUGCCCUUUGUACACACCGCCCGUCGCACCUACCGAUUGAAUGGUCCGGUGAAAUCUCGGGACGGCGGCUUGGUCGCUUGCGUCCGACUGCUGAAACUUGAUUAAACCAUAUCAUUUAGAGGAAGGUGAAGUCGUAACA
rnacentral:rRNA from 1 species